rnacentral:rRNA from 1 species
ACGACUCUCGACAACGGAUAUCUCGGCUCUCGCAUCGAUGAAGAACGUAGCGAAGUGCGAUACUUGGUGUGAAUUGCAGAAUCCCGUGAACCAUCGAGUCUUUGAACGCAAGUUGCGCCCGAAGCCAAUAGGCCGAGGGCACGUCUGCCUGGGUGUCACA